rnacentral:rRNA from 1 species
UUCGGUUCGUAAAACUCUGUUGUAAGGGAAGAACAAGUACAGUAGUAACUGGCUGUACCUUGACGGUACCUUAUUAGAAAGCCACGGCUAACUACGUGCCAGCAGCCGCGGUAAUACGUAGGUGGCAAGCGUUGUCCGGAAUUAUUGGGCGUAAAGCGCGCGCAGGUGGUUUCUUAAGUCUGAUGUGAAAGCCCACGGCUCAACCGUGGAGGGUCAUUGGAAACUGGGAGACUUGAGUGCAGAAGAGGAUAGUGGAAUUCCAAGUGUAGCGGUGAAAUGCGUAGAGAUUUGGAGGAACACCAGUGGCGAAGGCGACUAUCUGGUCUGUAACUGACACUGAGGCGCGAAAGCGUGGGGAGCAAACAGGAUUAGAUACCCUGGUAGUCCACGCCGUAAACGAUGAGUGCUAAGUGUUAGGGGGUUUCCGCCCCUUAGUGCUGCAGCUAACGCAUUAAGCACUCCGCCUGGGGAGUACGGUCGCAAGACUGAAACUCAAAGGAAUUGACGGGGGCCCGCACAAGCGGUGGAGCAUGUG